CAAAGAGGGUCGACCUGCAAACUUGCAAGGUCCCGGUCUAGAUCCCGCUCAAGGUCCCGAGGAAGAAGGUAUUCUCGGUCACGCAGUCGGAGUCGUGGUAGGAGGUCCAGGUCAGCUUCCUAUCGUAGGUCUCGGUCCGUUUCCCCUCGUAGGUCUAGGUCUGUGUCUCCCCGCCGGUCCCGAUCGGGUUCCUUGAAGAGAUCAAGGUCUAGAUCAAGAUCCAGAUCUAGAUCCAGAUCUGUUACGUGGCCCCGAAGCAGGUCUAGGUCUCAUGGCAGAUCAAAAUCUGGCUCACUAGCUAAGAGUCAGUCAAAGUCCCGAUCACCAUCUCCAAAAAGAAGUCAUUCACCAUCAGGAAGCCCCCAAAGAAGUGCAAGUCCUGAAAGAAUGGAUUAAAGUUAUGAAGCUAAUCUUUUAGGAAGAAAGUUAUUUUGCUUACAUUAUUAUAAGGGAUUUUGUGGUGUCUUUGUAAAUGUAAGAGUGUAGAUAGAAGAGUAUAUCAGCUGAAAUUUGGCAUGAUCUGGGUCUUCUGAGUUAGUCACACCAACAGACUAGCACAGGUCUCUUUUUAUUGUAUGAAUUAACUUCCUGUGAUAUGAAAAUGUGGGACUUUUUUUAUUGGCACAUUGAAAUAAAAUGUGUAUUUUUAACUAAAACUUCUCUGUA
rnacentral:lncRNA from 1 species